AAACAUUCCGCCUGGGGAGUACGGUCGCAAGAUUAAAACUCAAAGGAAUAGACGGGGACCCGCACAAGUGGUGGAGCAUGUGGUUUAAUUCGAAGAUACGCGAAGAACCUUACCUAGCCUUGACAUAUUUAAGAACUCCGUAGAGAUACAGAGGUGCCUUCGGGAGCUUUCUUACAGGUGCUGCACGGCUGUCGUCAGCUCGUGUCGUGAGAUGUUGGGUUAAGUCCCGCAACGAGCGCAACCCUCGUCACUAGUUACUAACGGCUCGGCCGAGGACUCUAGUGAGACUGCCUUCGUAAGGAGGAGGAAGGUGAGGACGACGUCAAGUCAUCAUGGCCCUUACGGCUAGGGCAGCACACGUGCUACAAUGGCCAGGACAGUGAGACGCAAUACCGCGAGGUGGAGCAAAUCUAUAAACCUGGUCUCAGUUCGGAUUGUUCUCUGCAACUCGAGAACAUGAAGCUGGAAUCACUAGUAAUCGUAGAUCAGCUAUGCUACGGUGAAUACGUUCCCGGGUCUUGUACUCACCGCCCGUCACACCAUGGGAGUUGAUUUCACCCGAAGCGGGGAAGCUAAACUGGCUACCCUCCACGGUGGAAUUAGCGACUGGGGUGAAGUCGUAACAACGUA
rnacentral:rRNA from 1 species